rnacentral:rRNA from 1 species
CCUACGGGGGGCUGCAGUGGGGAAUAUUGGACAAUGGGGGGAACCCUGAUCCAGCCAUGCCGCGUGUGUGAAGAAGGCCCUCGGGUUGUAAAGCACUUUCAGUGAGGAAGAACGCCUGGUGGUUAAUACCCAUCAGGAAAGACAUCACUCACAGAAGAAGCACCGGCUAACUCCGUGCCAGCAGCCGCGGUAAUACGGAGGGUGCGAGCGUUAAUCGGAAUUACUGGGUGUAAAGCGCGCGUAGGUGGCUUGAUAAGCCGGUUGUGAAAGCCCCGGGCUCAACCUGGGAACGGCAUCCGGAACUGUCAAGCUAGAGUGCAGGAGAGGAAGGUAGAAUUCCCGGUGUAGCGGUGAAAUGCGUAGAGAUCGGGAGGAAUACCAGUGGCGAAGGCGGCCUUCUGGACUGACACUGACACUGAGGUGCGAAAGCGUGGGUAGCAAACAGGAUUAGAUACCCCAGUAGUC